AGGGUUUGAUCAUGGCUCAGGAUGAACGCUAGCGGCAGGCUUAACACAUGCAAGUCGAGGGGUAUAGUUCUUCGGAGCUAGAGACCGGCGCACGGGUGCGUAACGCGUAUGCAAUCUACCUUUUACAGAGGGAUAGCCCAGAGAAAUUUGGAUUAAUACCUCAUAGUAUGUGAGAAUCGCAUGGUUUUCACAUUAAAGUCACAACGGUAAAAGAUGAGCAUGCGUCCCAUUAGCUUGUUGGUAAGGUAACGGCUUACCAAGGCAACGAUGGGUAGGGGUCCUGAGAGGGAGAUCCCCCACACUGGUACUGAGACACGGACCAGACUCCUACGGGAGGCAGCAGUGAGGAAUAUUGGACAAUGGGCGCAAGCCUGAUCCAGCCAUGCCGCGUGCAGGAUGACGGUCCUAUGGAUUGUAAACUGCUUUUGUACAGGAAGAAACACUCCCUCGUGAGGGAGCUUGACGGUACUGUAAGAAUAAGGAUCGGCUAACUCCGUGCCAGCUGCCGCGGUAAUACGGAGGAUCCAGCGUUAUCCGGAAUCCUUGGGUUUAAAGGGUCC
rnacentral:rRNA from 1 species